rnacentral:rRNA from 1 species
GUAGGUGACCUGCGGAAGGAUCACUA